CAUCAAUUGCCUCACUGGGUUGGCAAAUUCAAAUGCAUCAUGGGCAAGGAAGAGAACAACAAUUGAGGGUGUUCUCAAGGACCAGACAUUUCUAGACAAACCUGCAAGUCAGCUGAGGAAUUCUCUGGAUGAGAGUCAUGGAAUCAGACUCCUGGGAGUGCAGAAAUUAUUAUAACUUGCAGUUGAAUCUGAAAAUGAACCUCGACCCUGGUGCAAGAAGUGGGAAGAGCACAGAGUGAGAUCAAUGAAGACUAAAAAACAGCAAAGAAGACUUCUUAAAG